rnacentral:lncRNA from 1 species
UAAGUGCAACUCUGUUGAUGUUAUCGUGUGAAUCAUGUGGCGGAUGGCAUGAACUCUUGGCUCUGUUGAUCCGGGAGAAAGGGGUGGCACUGUGAUACUGUACUCGCAAUCUCUGCCGUUCUCUUUCUCGCCUGAUGAUGGACGUGGAUUUGACUCUAUGGCUGUGAUUGUUGUUUGUAAAUGGCACUCCAUUUCUUUCGGUGAUUUACCCAUGGAGCGUGGUGUGUACCUUCCUCCAAUGCCGUUUUACCCUUCACGUAGAUAGACAGAAGCUAGACAUGGGUUUGGGGCUGCUAAUCUGCAUUCACAAAUUAACCCUUGUACAUGUCAUUAUGAUUACCUUCCUCCAAUGCCGUUUUACCGGCAAAAUGUAUCCCUUUUGUGGUCUACAUGUCGUUGUAAUGUUUUAGUAGUAACAUUUGUAUCAUUGUCUGAUUGUUUAGUAUAGCUGCAAACGAUAGCAUGAAUGAAAACCACCAGCAACUCACCA